CAAUAGCGUAUAUUAAAGUUGUUGCAGUUAAAAAGCUCGUAGUUGGAUUUCUGGUGGGAGCGAUCGGUCUGGCGCUUAGCGCGAGUACUUGCAUCGUCUCCGGCCAUCCUUGGGGAAAGUCUGUCUGGCAUUAAGUUGUCGGGCAGAGGAUCCUCAUCGUUUACUGUGAAAAAAUUAGAGUGUUCAAAGCAGGCUUAUGCCGUUGAAUAUAUUAGCAUGGAAUAAUAAGAUAGGACUUUGGUACUAUUUUGUUGGUUUGCGCACCAAAGUAAUGAUUAAUAGGGACAGUUGGGGGUAUUCGUAUUUCGUUGUCAGAGGUGAAAUUCUUGGAUUUACGGAAGACGAACUACUGCGAAAGCAUUUACCAAGGAUGUUUUCAUUAA
rnacentral:rRNA from 1 species